GGGAUUUUGAUUUUAUUUAUUAUAUUAUAGGGCACAUGGGCUUGCUUUGGCUGAUUAGAUUCACGAAUGGGAUUAAAAUUAGUUUGAGGGUGCAUUUUCAGUACCCAUAAAUAAGGUGAAAUUUCAAUUCACUGUGUGAGAUUUGGUUGAUGAUUUCUUCUCUUUCUUUACUUGUCCAAAACAUAUGUAUACAAUUUGAAUUAAAAGCUCAAAUUCAAAUACUUGGAUUUCAUAUUUGCUAUCCAAAUCAUAUUAUUAAGAAUUUUGGAGCAAAAAUUCGGGUGUCCAUUUUUUCUUUGGAUUCUUACAGUUUCAUCUCCUCAGAAUUUAACUAGUAAGAUGAGUGCUGAAUGAGUGUUUGCAUAUUAAUGAAGUGAAACAUAAUAAUGAAAAAAGAAAGAAGAAAGAACGUGGAAAGAAACCUAUAAAUUAUUAUUGUGAUGAAAAAUGGAAUUCCAGAUUUCUGCUUGUUACAAAGAGGAUAUUUUGUUGUAGAUAAUUUGUGAUAUAUUGGUAAUUUUACUCUGUAGAUAAGCUUCAGUAACU
rnacentral:misc_RNA from 1 species